GGAAUUGGUAGACGCUACGGACUU
rnacentral:tRNA from 1 species